UUUAUCAAAGAAUUCAACAUUUGACUGCACCAAAACUUGAUGAAAUAUGAAACCAAAGUGAUGGAUGGAAAAAGAAGCGAGGUAAGUAUUGUCUUGCAUGUGCUAAUGAAAUAGAAGCUAUUUCUGCAACGAAAAGUGCAUUUAAUUAACAUGUCCUUAUGGUUGACCAGAUAGUAUUAAUGAUUAUUUUGUGGAAGGGUAGUUAUGAUCUCUGAAUUUAACUUUCAUCCAAACAGCCACAAUUUAGAUUUUGUUGGUUGCAUUUAAGGUGCUACUGCUGUGUUACAUAUUAGCUUACUUGAGUUUAUCGUAUCGUGUGUGUGUUUUUAUUUUCUGUACAGACAUUCGGGUUCAGGUCUUGGUUUGUAAGCGAAGUCUGAGUCCGGGAUUGGGUGUAUUUGGUUUCUUUAUAAAAAUUUCAUGUGGCUUAAUUCCACUAGUAAAGUGUUGCCUUCGAUAACUUAGAUUACACAUGGAAGCCUCCCUGUUGCAUUUAGACAUUUAAGUUUAGGUUCCUAUGAUGCAUCUAAGUCACGGCACAAAGCUGGCUGAAUUCGAGGAACCAACUUCUAUCAGCAAAGUGAGCCCUCAAGGGCAUGUGGAAAUCACAAUAUGUUUUUGUCUUGCUAUUGCUUUUUAUUUGGUUCUGUGAUAAUCUCUUGAACAAUCAACAAUCAACAUGUUGCUUGAUGCAUGACGUAAUUUUUUCUGAUGCUGGGGUCUUUGCUGAUGUAAACUUUGCUCUCUAUUUUUGGACUGUCAAUGUCAUACCCUUGGUCCAUGUCUUGGUUUGUUGGUCUUAAUAAGAUUACCCUACCCAAAAAAAAAAACUUGUUGCAUGGUUGGUGCUGCGAUUGAAGAGAUUAAAAUUCAGUACCUAACCUGUAAAGAAUGUGAAUGGAAAAGUUACAUAGAGAUGGCAAUAAUUUCUUUCUUCUAUGGCCCAACCCCACCCAAGAGCAGGAGGUCUGACCAAUGUAUAUACCACUUAUAAGCUUCCAUGUAUUAUGGAGAAUAUGUGGGGCAAGUACUUACACGUAGGAGCCUUCAAGAAACAUGUACUUUCCACAAGUUUGGUUCGCAAUGAAAGCAAGUAAAGCUGUAAAGGGCUUAAGGUCACAUUUAAGACAAUUCGCAAGGCUUUAACUAUGAUAACAACCACCAACUAAGGUCUCCGCAUAGGACAAGGUUGUUAGCCCGAUCUUUGGCAUACUGGUCUUAUUGUGCAUGCUUCAUCAUCUUGGGAGUCCUGGCAUGAAUCUAAGUGGUUGCCUCUAAUAGGAUGUUAAGUAGUGCCACUUACAUUUGUAGACUUAGAGACAGGGCCUAUGUCAAUGUACUUGACCCUUAUCGAAGGACUCUACAAGCUUAUAGCUCUGAGGAUAGAGGUAGUGCUUUUAGCUUGGCGCUGUGCAUCGCCGGUUAGGCCAGUCUAUAUUUCCUGGAACAUUCCGGAAUGCUUCUAGGUUUGGGUACGAGGACGGGAAUGUUGUUCGCCAUAUCCAAAAUGGCGGUAGGAUGGGAUACAGUUCUAUAGAUUACAACAGAGCAUUAUGGCAUAGAUUAUCACUGUAAAACACAUUUCUAGGCACUGUAUGACAAAAUUUUCACAUCUUGUGUCGCAAAGGCUCCACUUUCUCUAGAUCUUUGAGAAUCUUAUUUUUUUCCUUCUAAGGAAAAUGUAUCUAUCUUUACAUCAAAAGAAUCUUUCCGGAGAUCAAUGUGGGUAUGAUAAGUGGGAAGAGUGCCUGAGGUUGCCCUUUGGGGGUAUGGUGGUUACUAUAGUGACUUAGGACCACCGGAGGUGGAGGAGGAGAGAGCUCAGGGCAGCCUCAAAGAGAGAGAGAGAGAGAGAGAGAGAGAGAGAUAUAUGGCAGUGGAGAGUAGGUGUGUAUUGAAUGCUUGUCUUCAAUGAGGGUUAAGUCCUCUUUAUAUAUGAGCCUAGGAUCCUUGGAGGGGAAGGAAGCGUGCCUUUCCUCAUUAAUACUGAGCAGAGUACCACAUUCCCUUUUGAGUGUUAUAUCAGACCUGGAGUUCUGUAGCCAGGGACUCCCAGAUGCAAUUGGGUGAUAUAUGGAGGCCUGUAUCAUGGCUAGGUGGUAGGUAUUGUCAGCCGGGAUACUACAGAGAUCUUCAUACGUUGGGUGACGAUGGCGAACCCCUCUCUCUCUAUGACCAAUCAAGUUGGAGCUCACCUCGGAGGUGAGCCUUGACAAUCCCUUUACUCUAGCCUCUUAUAAAGCACAGAUACUCUAUUUUGGCCUUCGUAUCACGUAUCGUAUCCGUAUUGGAUACUGAUACUCUUGGAUACGCUCCAGAUACAUAUCCAUACCGUUUUUUAAAGUAUCCUACUUUUAGAAUUAUUUUUGGUAUCCCGGUAUGUUUCGGAUACGUGCGGAUAUGUGUUGGAUACGUUCAGAUAUGUUUUGGAUAUGCGCGAGGGUAAAUAUGUUAUUACUUAAAAUAUGAGUUAAAAUUGCAAUUAGGACUAUUUUUCUUUUUUCCCCACAAAUCGACACUAGAAAGGUAGAAACACACCGAUGAUAUCCUCUCUCUCGUUUCUCAUCUCUCUCGACGAUCUUGUAUGUCUCUUGUCUCUCCCCCUCUCUCUCGCUGUGUAUGUAUAUACAAUUAUAUAUAUAACUAUAUGUAAAUAUCUCUCUCUUGGCAUGUGAAAUGGUGAAUUUGUGUAAUGAAAAGCUUUAAUCAUUAAUGGAAUUUUAGGAAUUAAAAAUUAUAUAUAUAAUAUAUUUUUUAUUUACUUUUAUAUUCAACGUAUCCCCCAACUUAUCGUAUCCUUCUUUUUGGAAAAAUCACGUAUCUGUAUCCGUAGCCUCCAAUCCACAUUCCUCCUUAGGUCCCGAGUAAAGUACCUAGGUCCUGCUCCCGACUUAGGGUGUUGUGCAGAGUCGCCAUUAGUGCAGAGGCAGCUCGAAUGCGGAGGCAUCAGAUGUACAAAGGCACCUCAAGUGCGGAGGUGUGAUGGAGCCGAGGAGGUAAGGAUGGUUCUCUGGUAGCCUUAGGGGGCGGAGGACCUCCAAAUACCCACAUUAAUGUCCCCUUGUGCGCAUGUUCUCAUGUGACAAAUGAGUGUAUGCGGGCAUAUAUCUAGUAUCUUCGAGGAAUUUGUCUAGCGUAGGUGAUCGUUUCCUAUGCAGUGAGGUUAUGCUAUUUUUGUUCUUCUGAGGGUACUAGCUAUGCCAUUUUUGGCCGUGGCUAGAGUCUUGUCAUGUCAAAGGUCCUUUCUCCUUGCGUUUUAUGAGGAUGCUCUACUAUAAGUAUGGAGUUUACUCAUCUCAUUUUUGUUGUUUGAGGAUUUUUGGAGAGAACUUCUGGUAGAUUUUCCUUUGUGAGGGGGCUCCGCUCGCGGUGAGGGGACCACGGGUAGCCGUAUCCGCACCUGAGGUUGCCCUCUGGGGGUAUGGUGUACAAGGGAAUGUGGUACUCUGCUCAGGAUUUUUGGAGGCACGUUUGGAUUCUUACCGCCACGGAGCUAUAUACAAAGUGGGUAGAGGCAAUCCCCCUCUGAAAGGCCACCGGAGCAGCCGUUUCAGAGAAUUCAUCAUAUGUCGCUGCGGAAUCCCAAAGGUCAUCCUUUCUGAUAAUGGAACUCCAUUUGUGAACCGCCAAGUUGGACAACUCCUAGCCUCGUAUGACAUCACUCACCUCAAGUCAACAGCGUACUAUCCCAAGGGGAAUGGUCAAGCCGAGGCAACAAAUAAGACACUCUUGAAGAUACUGAGCAGAAUCUUGGAAGAUCAUCAGAAAAAUUGGGCUCACGCCUUGCCCAUGGCUCUCUGGGCAUACCGAACUUCCAAAAGAAGACAUGACCCCUUUCGCCCUUGUCUAUGCCACCGAAGCAGUCUUACCGUUAGAAGUUGCAGUGCCGUCCGCACGGGUGGCACGGACGGCACUGCGAAGCGAGGUUCUCUACGACUCAAGACCAAGCGAGCUGGAAGCCCUAGAUGAACGAAGGGAUCAAGCGCAAGCUAACCUCCGCGUCUAUCAAUGGAGGAUAGCUCGCGCUUAUGAUGCUUUAGUCAAGUCGCAAAGAUUUGAAGAGGGAGACUUGCUGCUGAAGGAAGCCCCUCACAUCAUCAAGAAAGGAAAAUUAGCGUCCAAGUUUACCCCAAAAUGGGAAGGACCGUUCCUGGUGAAAGAAGCAAAUGAGAAUUGAUACUACCGAAUCUCCAAGCCAGAAUCUCAAGUCGUCAUGGCACCCAUCAAUACAAAGUGGUUGAAAGCAUACCACCCUUAGCAGACGUCCCUCCUUUAUUAUGUAGGCCUUUUAUUUGAUGUAAUGAAAGAAGUUCCAAUUCCCAGAAGGCUCUGAUAAUGAGUUAAUGGAGCCCAAGGGAAGUUCAAACACUCUGUACUGAUUUCCUAAGAAGAAUUAUGAAUGAAAACUCCAAAAAAAAUAAAAAAAAUUGCUCUCAAUCUCCUACUUGCAACCACAAAGAGAUAAGCACGAAAUAACAACUCACUUACACACCGUUGUGGCUACCUUAAUUUGGACCUGAGCAUACAUUCAAGAAUCUUACACAAAGUAUCACAAUCCUCAAAAUAGGCCUGAGCUAUGCUUUUUUGCUCAAGUAUCAGACCUGAGCAGGAGCCAGGCAUAUCUAUGAGAAACUUUGAACACCUCAAAAGCAUCACAAUCCUCAAAGUGGAAUUUGAUGAUGAUAAGGGUUAGAGAUUAAUUUAUCUUGAGAUUCAAUUAACUUGGUUGUUCCGUUUGCUUAGGAUUCUUUAAUGGGUUUUCUUUGUUUUUUGUGCAUAUAAGCAGAGUUCAUGAUUUGAUUGUUGAGAUAUUAAUUUGGGGCUGUAUCCCCGUUUCAUUCCCUUCAUCCUUUUCCUUCUUCAUUCUGCUUAUCUCUUUCUCCUCUCUUUCCUUUGCUCUCAAGUCUCAUCUGGUUCUGCACCAUUUUGGUGUCAGAGCGUGAUCACGAUCCAUAGUUUCUCUCAACCAGCUUCUUUCCCUCCUUGAUAGUCUCAUUCGUUUCGGCCUUCACCUUCUCCGGUUUCUCCCAGC